GUAGUCUGGAACCUGCGGUUUGUGCAGGGGUCGGUGGCAGAGACAGGGUCUCACUCUGUCACCCAGGCUGGCACGAUCACCGCUCCCUGCAGCCUCGACCUCCCGGGCUCAAGUGAUCCUCCCACCUCAGCCUCUCGAGUAGCUGGAACCACAGGCAUGCAACAACAUGCUCGGGCUAAUUUUUUUAAUUUUGGAGGAUUUUUUUGUAGAGAUGUGGUUUCGCUAUGUUGCCCAGGCUGGUCUGGAACUCCUGCACUCAAGCAAUCCUCCUGCCUCGGCCUCCCAAAGUGCUGGGAUUACAGGCAUGAGCCACCACACCCAGCAAUUUCCAUGAAUUUUCAAUAGCCGUGUGUGCCUCACAGCUGCUGUGUUGGUGGGUAAAUGGCCCCCACACACCGCAUUCCCCAUCGUACAGUGGAGGCUUCCGGAUUUACAUCUGCACUGAAACUGUGGCCACCCGCCCCAUGGGGCUACCGAAAUAUAAACAGAUUCAAAUUA
rnacentral:lncRNA from 1 species